GUCGAAUAUGAUCCAGUCCGGAGAAGACCGUCCGAGAAACUCUUUCAACGGUGCCUGGAGAAGGUCAAAGGCGGCUUUGAGAGACUGUUGCUUGUUGUAAGGUACGUCCAUGGAAGAUUCUGAGGUUGGAGACAAGCCGGAGAUGAGAGGGAGAGGG